GUUAAUGAUGGUGUGGCGUGGUGCACGUUAGCUGUCUGAGCUUGGCGGUGCGUCGUGAUUUCACUGUAUCAAGAGCUCUGCCUGAGCCUUAGAAGAGCACAUUUUAUGGGUACUUUGUGCGGUGUCAAGAGACUUUAUGACCUGGGGAAGCAAGACAGCAGCAACAAGCCUGACACGUUCUAGACACAGAAACUCCCAGUAGAGGAAUACAAGUAGUACCACUUGCUGAAAACAGACCAGCCCCAGUGAGCAAGUCCUUGAAGGUUACCUCAUCGGCACCAGGCGCUGUUUUGUUUUAUUGUUUUUUGUGGGUUUUUUGUUUGCUGUAUGUUUUUUUAAUUAUAAUAACAAUAAUAACUUGUUAUUGUUUUAGUUCUUCCUGUGUCUAUUUGAGACGGGCAAUUGAGUGACGUGCUUUCGUCACUGCAUCAUGAGCCCUGAGGUUGCUCUUUAAGUGAGAUUGGAAGCUGGCGGA